GACGUAGGGCGCGAGCGUUGUCCGGAUUUAUUGGGCGUAAAGAGCUCGUAGGCGGCUUGUCGCGUCGAAUGUGAAAACUCGGGGCUCAACUCCGAGCUUGCAUUCGAUACGGGCAGGCUAGAGUUCGGUAGGGGAGACUGGAAUUCCUGGUGUAGCGGUGAAAUGCGCAGAUAUCAGGAAGAACACCCGUGGCUAAGGCGGCUCUCUAGUACGGUACUGACGCUGAGACGCGAAAGCGUGGGGAGCGAACAGG
rnacentral:rRNA from 1 species